GCCCCCGUAGCUCAGGGGAUAGAGCACUGGUUUCCUAAACCAGGUGUCGAGGGUUCGAAUCCCUCCGGGGGCA
rnacentral:tRNA from 1 species